AUUGAACGCUGGCGGCAUGCCUUACACAUGCAAGUCGAACGGCAGCACGGGUGCUUGCACCUGGUGGCGAGUGGCGAACGGGUGAGUAAUACAUCGGAACGUACCUUAUCGUGGGGGAUAACGCAGCGAAAGCUGUGCUAAUACCGCAUACGCCCUGAGGGGGAAAGCGGGGGAUCGAAAGACCUCGCGCGAUUAGAGCGGCCGAUGCCUGAUUAGCUUGUUGGUGGGGUAAAAGCCCACCAAGGCGACGAUCAGUAGCUGGUCUGAGAGGACGAUCAGCCACACUGGGACUGAGACACGGCCCAGACUCCUACGGGAGGCGGCAGUGGGGAAUUUUGGACAAUGGGGGCAACCCUGAUCCAGCAAUGCCGCGUGAGUGAAGAAGGCCUUCGGGUUGUAAAGCUCUUUUGUCAGGGAAGAAACACCGGCUCUAACACAGUCCGGGAAUGACGGUACCUGAAGAAUAAGCACCGGCUAACUACGUGCCAGCCGCCGCAGAA
rnacentral:rRNA from 1 species